AAUGCUUCCUGAGUCAGGCUCGGUGCUGAAUGCCUUACGCGUGUACAUGCGGCUUCUCUUCAUCUUUGGAUAAUCCUGUGAAGUGAGAUGAGGAUCGAGGCCCUGUCUUACCUGACCUGCCUCCUCGGCCCUGGCCCUGGUCAGCCACCCGUGACACUCUGGCCCUUCCUCCUGCAAAUCCAUCAAGACCCCAACCGAGCACCCACCUUCUGGAAACCUUGCAGCGCAUCCGCAGAGCCCAAGCGUCCUGAACGGGAGGCCCCCAUGCUGCUGGCUUUGGGUCAAGGCCGAUCCCUUCACUGUAAAGAAGUAACGGACCCAAAGAGGGAAGGAUGUUUAGAAACGGUCCCCACCACCUCCUUCCCCCUCCAUCUCCUGGGCUUUGGUUUUCCUUAAAAGUAUAUUAAAGCACCUUCACUUCA